UACUAAUAAUAACUAAGGAUGUUCAAAAAUGGCCUGUCAAGCUGAAUGUAAGACUAAAAGGUCAUCAGAAUACAGGAUCACAGGUACUCUUUUUUGGUUUUACACUCAAUAGGAUUGCUUAGGAUAUGAUCCUAUGCAUCUAUCAACAUGCAUGUCCUUUGCCUAACUGGAACAUGUUGGAAACUAAGUGGUUACUCAUAAGGAUUUUCCAAGGAGUACAGAGGAAAAUAACGGCAGAAAUAAAGUUCUCACUUCUGUGGUUUUAAUAAGAACCUGAAAUAAGGACACGUGUACACUAAACCCCAGAGAAAGUAUUGCUAGUAACUUAAAGGCCGCAUGGACUACCUGGCCCCAGUCAGCUCGUGGAGGUUUCCAGGGCCAAGUGUGAACCACUAGAGGGCUCACAAUGUGUUUAGAGGGUUAGU
rnacentral:lncRNA from 1 species